rnacentral:rRNA from 1 species
UACAGAGGUCUCAAGCGUUGUUCGGAUUCAUUGGGCGUAAAGGGUGCGUAGGCGGCGCGGUAAGUCGGGUGUGAAAAUCUCGGAGCUUAACUCCGAAACUGCAUUCGAUACUGCCGUGCUUGAGGACUGGAGAGGAGACUGGAAUUUACGGUGUAGCGGUGAAAUGCGUAGAUAUCGUAAGGAAGACCAGUGGCGAAGGCGGGUCUCUGGACAGUUCCUGACGCUGAAGCACGAAGGCCAGGGGGAGCAAAACGGG